AAAUAUUUCUUCAAUUUCAAGGAUGUGAUUAGACUUAAAGGAUUUUGGAAGGAAAUCAGUAUUCACGAUCGCAAUUUCUUUGUAUAAUUUAAGGUUACAAGUUUAAAAGAAUACCUAGCAUUGGGGUCAUCUGCCCUAUUCUGGAAGGUGGAUGAGCUAACCGAAAAGGUUGUUGACAUGAAUUGGAAAGAAACAUAAAAUUAUAUUGAUUGUGGACUAUUUGUAAUGCGGCAUAUGGAGACAUACAACGGGACACUAAAGAAAUGGAACCCUGGAUUCAGAAGGAAAACAAGCUUAAAUGAAGAUUUCUUACUUGGACUGAGGGCUAGGUAUGCCGCAGCAAUCAUAAGGUGGCGUGCCAACACAUUGAAAAACAGUGUCAUCAAGAAAACCAAAGUCUUGUACAACAAGAAAUGAACAAUUGGAACAUUUUUUAAUUUUCCUUUGUUAAUUGAUUUGGAGAUCAAUGUAGGUUACAAGAGUAAAUGCAUUAGAAAGUAGAAA